rnacentral:rRNA from 1 species
AUUGAACGCUGGCGGCAGGCUUAACACAUGCAAGUCGAGCGGAGAGAGGUAGCUUGCUACUGAUCUUAGCGGCGGACGGGUGAGUAAUGCUUAGGAAUCUGCCUAUUAGUGGGGGACAACAUUUCGAAAGGAAUGCUAAUACCGCAUACGUCCUACGGGAGAAAGCAGGGGAUCUUCGGACCUUGCGCUAAUAGAUGAGCCUAAGUCGGAUUAGCUAGUUGGUGGGGUAAAGGCCUACCAAGGCGACGAUGUGGAGCGGGUCUGAGAGGAUGAUCCGCCACACUGGGACUGGGACACGGCCCAGACUCCUACGGGAGGCAGCAGUGGGGAAUAGUGGACUAGGGGCGCAAGCCUGAUCCAGCCAUGCCGCGUGUGUGAAGAAGGCCUUAUGGUUGUAAAGCACUUUAAGCGAGGAGGAGGCUACUUUAGAUAAUACCUAGGGAUAGUGGACGUUACUCGCAGAAUAAGCACCGGCUAACUCUGUGCCAGCCGCCGCGGUAAAAC